UUUACCAAUUGUACUUCAUACAAUUCUUAAUAUUUUUCUCUCUUACCUCUAGAUCACUCAUAGUCUUAUGGAUAGCACAACAAACUAUAGUGUUCUAGUUAAGUUAACCCUUCAAUCUCAUAUGAUCAUACUUAAACAAUGCUGUCUUUGUGGAUAGCAUAACAAAACAACACUAUUCAAGUAAAUCAUAAGCAUCAAUAUACACUUAGUCAACAUC
rnacentral:lncRNA from 1 species